rnacentral:rRNA from 1 species
GACGAACGCUGGCGGCGUGCUUAACACAUGCAAGUCGAACGGAAAGGCCCUGCUUUUGUGGGGUGCUCGAGUGGCGAACGGGUGAGUAACACGUGAGUAACCUGCCCUUGACUUUGGGAUAACUUCAGGAAACUGGGGCUAAUACCGGAUAGGAGCUCCUGCUGCAUGGUGGGGGUGGGAAAGUUUCGGCGGUUGGGGUUGGACUCGCGGCUUAUCAGCUGGUUGGUGGGGUAGUGGCUUACCAAGGCUUUGACGGGUAGCCGGCCUGAGAGGGUGACCGGCCACAUUGGGACUGAGAUACGGCCCAGACUCCUACGGGAGGCAGCAGUGGGGAAUAUUGCACAAUGGGCGGAAGCCUGAUGCAGCAACGCCGCGUGCGGGAUGACGGCCUUCGGGUUGUAAACCGCUUUCGCCUGUGACGAAGCGUGAGUGACGGUAAUGGGUAAAGAAGCACCGGCUAACUACGUG